CCGGAUGCCCUGGCAGAGCCGCACCGGACAAAGCGGCUCCGCCCCACUACCCC
rnacentral:ncRNA from 1 species